UUCGGCUGUCAAUCAAACUUGCCAUGUGAUCAAGAUCCGUCUCCCAACAUUUUUCCGGCUGUAAGAAACAAUAUAUAAUAAGUUGGGUGAAAGUCGUAUACGCUAUAGUUCCAUACCUUGCAUUUAUAAAGUUUGACGUCGAUUCCUUGUGAUAUGGAGAGUGUUUUAUACAACGAGAACCCGGGGCAUGGUACAAGUAUGUUGUCACCUCGGUCAGCUAGUACAGUGAUCGCCAUGUUUAACGCAUCGGAGCAACCACAGCUAAGGUAAACGUCCUGGAGGGUGAGGGUGUUGGGGUCAUCUUAUAAACCUUCGUUACCGUGACCGGAAAAAUGAAAUAAAGUCAUUCAUUCAUAUCUAUGUAAACUACAUCAUACAGUAAUGUGAAUAUCAUCAGCGGACAGAUGCUUUGAACUUGGAUCUUCAGUGGAAAUGGCUGUUUCAUACAUUAUCAUAUUAGCCGCUUGUUAAUCGUUAAUUUGGCGGCAUUUAGGCAAAAAAAUCGAUUUGAUGAGCUUUGUGAAGAUAUUCUAGUGUUUAUUAUGACGUCAUACUCGUGAUGAUUGUUUACAUUCUAGAGUCCAUUCAUAUGUGACGAAACAAUUUUGUGACGGGUUAUUUCCCUAACAUGCGAUAAUGUUCCUAUAUUUUUAAACCUAAAUUUAAUAUUUUUAAUAAAAGUAAAAAUAUAA